rnacentral:rRNA from 1 species
AGGGCACCACCAGGAGUGGAGCCUGCGGCUUAAUUUGACUCAACACGGGGAAACUUACCCGGCCUGGACACUGGAAGGAUUGACAGAUUGAGAGCUCUUUCUUGAUUCAGUGGGUGGUGGUGCAUGGCCGUUCUUAGUUGGUGGAGCGAUUUGUCUGGUUAAUUCCGAUAACGAACGAGACUCUAGCCUAUUAAAUAGGCUCCCGGCUUUUAAACGCCGGGAGGACUUCUUAGAGGGACAGGUGGCAGUUCAGCCGCACGAAAGAGAGCAAUAACAGGUCUGUGAUGCCCUUUGUUGUCCGGGGCCGCACGCGCGCUACACUGAAGAGAUCAGCGUGCUUUACGUUCCUGCUCCGACCGGAGUGGGGAACCCAGUGAACCUUCUUCGUGAUUGGGAUAGAAGAUUGUAAUUAUUCUUCUUGAACGAGGAAUUCCCAGUAAAUGCGAGUCAUAAGCUCGCGUUGAUUACGUCCCUGCCCUUUGUACACACCGCCCGUCGCUACUACCGAUUGAACGAUCU